rnacentral:rRNA from 1 species
GACGAACGCUGGCGGCGUGCUUAACACAUGCAAGUCGAACGGAAAGGCCCUGCUUUUGUGUGGUGCUCGAGUGGCGAAGGGGUGAGAAACACGUGAGUAACCUUCCCUUGACUUUGGGGUAACUUCAGGAAACUGGGGCUAAUACCGGAUAGGAGCUCCUGCUGCUUGGUGGUGGUUGGAAAGUUUCGGCGGUUGGGGAUGGACUCGCGGCUUAUCAGCUUGUUGGUGGGGUAGUUGAUUACAAAGGUGUCGACGGGUAGCCGGCCUGAGAGGGUGACCGGCCCCAUUGGGACUGAGAUGCGGCCCAGAGUCAUACGGGAGGCAGCAGUGGGAAAUAUUGCACAAUGGGCGGAAGCAUGAUGCAGCAACGCCGCGUGCGGGAUGACGGCCUUCGGGUUGUAAACCGCUUGAGCCUGUGACGAAGAGUGAGUGACGGUAAUGGGUAAAGAAGCAACGGCUAACUACGUG